rnacentral:rRNA from 1 species
UACGUAGGGAGCGAGCGUUGUCCGGAAUUACUGGGUGUAAAGGGUGCGUAGGCGGGAUUGCAAGUCAGAUGUGAAAUACAUAGGCUUAACCUAUGGGCUGCAUUUGAAACUGCGUGUCUUGAGUGAUGGAGAGGCAGGCGGAAUUCCCAGUGUAGCGGUGAAAUGCAUAGAUAUUAGGAGGAACACCGGUGGCGAAGGCGGCUUACUGGACGACCACUGACGCUGAGGCUCGAAAGCGUGGGGAGCAA